AACGAACGCUGGCGGCAUGCCUAAUACAUGCAAGUCGAACGAGACCUUCGGGUCUAGUGGCGCACGGGUGCGUAACGCGUGGGAAUCUGCCCUUGGGUUCGGAAUAACAGUUGGAAACGACUGCUAAUACCGGAUGAUGACGAAAGUCCAAAGAUUUAUCGCCUAGGGAUGAGCCCGCGUAGGAUUAGCUAGUUGGUGAG
rnacentral:rRNA from 1 species